CAAGAGAAAUUGUUGGAUUUCAAGGAAUCAAGCAAGUAAAGGUAUAGGUGGUGAGCCCCCUAGUAAGAGUAAGGAUAUCGUACCCGAGGACCAAGAAUAGGAGUACUCCAUACUCCCAUUAAGCUUACUGCAAUGGGCGGGUUUCUGUGGACUAGCCUAUGAGAGAAGCACGAUAAACCCCGUUAUACUUUACCUUGGUACGAGAGGCUCGGAGGGUAUCUCCUAAGGUAACGUUAGAGUUUACUCCAUGCCGAACCACCACGUGAGGGUGAAACUCGGCCAAC